CGUGCAUAAAAAGUCGGAUAUAACAUGCUACCGACCAUUAAAGAUGCUACCGACUGUCUACGGAUUCCAAAUUUGCCGCGCCGUCGGCUCGGGGGAUUAAGGUUUUGACAGGCAUUUGAUCUAGUUAUUGCCAUUGGGAAUUAUUGUCCAUUACCAUUGUGUGUAAUGAGAUCCACAACCAUUUUCCUUUUUCCUUUGAUAGUUCCAUCCCUCCAGUUUUUUCGAAUUUC
rnacentral:lncRNA from 1 species